rnacentral:rRNA from 1 species
CAGCCGCCGCGGUAAUACGAAGGGGGCUAGCGUUGCUCGGAUUUACUGGGCGUAAAGGGCGCGUAGGCGGACAGUUAAGUUGGGGGUGAAAGCCCGGGGCUCAACCUCGGAAUUGCCUUCAAUACUGGCUGUCUUGAGUGUGAGAGAGGUGUGUGGAACUCCGGGUGUAGAGGUGAAAUUCGUAGAUAUUCGGAAGAACACCAGUGGCGAAGGCGACACACUGGCUCACUACUGACGCUGAGGCGCGAAAGCGUGGGGAGCAAACGGGAUUAGAUACCCCCGUAGUCCCUGUCUCUUAUAC